rnacentral:misc_RNA from 1 species
GAUGAAGAACGCAGUGAAAUGCGAUAAGUAAUGUGAAUUGCAGAAUUCAGUGAAUCAUCGAAUCUUUGAACGCACAUUGCGCCCCCUGGUAUUCCGGGGGGCAUGCCUGUCCGAGCGUCAUUACUGCCCUCAAGCGCGGCUUGUGUGUUGGGCCUUCGCCCCCCCCGGGGGCGUGCCCGAAAGGCAGUGGCGGCGCCGUGCCCGGUCCUCGAGCGUAUGGGGCUUUGUCACCCGCUCUGGAGGCCCGGCCGGCCGCCGCCGACCCGCCCAGACCUUUAACCGGUUGACCUCGGAUCAGGCAGGGAUACCCGCUGAACUUAAGCAUAUCAAUAAGCGGAGGA